CCUUAUCGAGAGAGGUGGAGGGACUGGCCCUUUGAAGCCUCGGCAACAACUAUUUUUAGGACUGUGCCAAUUCCAGCAAGCGAAAGCUUGAAAGAUAAGA
rnacentral:ncRNA from 1 species